UUUAAACCAAUGAGUGCACUUAAUUGUGGCUCAACCUUUUUUUUUUUUAAUUUAAACCCCAAAAAUUUGAUUGUAUGACUACCAAACCUUUUGGGUCAUUUCAAUCAAGUAAAAGUAACAUUUUUGUUGCAUUAUCCCCCCCUAACCUUUUUUAUAAAUACACAAGUGGACUUAAGAAUGUAAAAAUUGAUUGAUUAUUUUGAAAUAA
rnacentral:misc_RNA from 1 species